rnacentral:rRNA from 1 species
AUUGAACGCUGGCGGCAUGCCUUACACAUGCAAGUCGAACGGCAGCACGGGAGCAGUCCUGGUGGCGAGUGGCGAACGGGUGAGUAAUAUAUCGGAACGUGCCCAGUCGUGGGGGAUAACGUAGCGAAAGCUACGCUAAUACCGCAUACGAUCUAUGGAUGAAAGCGGGGGAUCGCAAGACCUCGCGCGAUUGGAUCGGCCGAUAUCAGAUUAGGUAGUUGGUGGGGUAAAGGCUCACCAAGCCGACGAUCUGUAGCUGGUCUGAGAGGACGACCUGCCACACGGGGACUGAGACACGGCCCAGACUCCUACGGGAGGCAGCAGUGGGGAAUUUUGGACAAUGGCCGCAAGCCUGAUCCAGCAAUGCCGCGUGCAGGAUGAAUGCCUUCGGGUUGUAACUGCUUUUGUACGGAGCGAAAAGGCUUCCACUAAUACUGGGGGCUCAUGACGGUACCGUAAGAAUAAGCACCGGCUAACUACGUGCCAGCCGCCGCGGUAAUAC